ACAUGACCUAAGGACAUUCUUCCAAAGUUGCCAGUCCCUUGCUCCAGAGGUCAUAAACUCUUUUUUUCCCUAAAUUAUUGCAAAAGCUCUGUGUUCAGCCAGACUGGUCUUCAACUCUGUCAGUUUGUCUUUCAGCACAUAGGGACAGCCUGUUCCUCCACCUUUAAGGUGUCAUUCUUAAAUUGUGCUCAGCUGUCCUGGUCCCCUUUGUUGUUAAGGACAGUUUCCCAGGUGACUCUCUGAAUCAGUGUCCUGCACCCUGUAACUCAGUGUCCAGAGUUCUACGUAAACACCUAUUAAGGCCGAAGUCCAUCCUUCAGAAGUCCAAAGUAGAGGCUCUCUCCCCAGCUGUGGAAGGAAGUUCUCUUCCAUACACUCCAGGAACAUCCAAGACUGACUCCUCUCUGCUGUGCUGAGUUUCCAACAGACAUACAGCAGCUUAAAGUCUUCCACAAGUACAAGGACUAGAGCACCAAACGAUGGUUCUGUAGUGUGCUAUUUUUUUAAAGUAGCAUCCAUUCACAGAGGCAUUUCUUGACAUGCUGGCCUUUCAAGAAUGACAGCAGAGCAACUAGUUCUGAGAAGGGGUUUAUCAGCAGAUCUCAAAUAGCUAACUGAAAUUAUGGAUCCUCCAAAUGAGGACAGGCUCUCUAAGGUGGCCCAGCAGUCCCUAAGCAACAUCCUGGCCACCAGCACGGGCGCAGGUGUCAGCAGCUGCGUGUGUUCCUGUCACAGGCAGAGAGAGGUGUGCUCAGCCACGUUUAACUGACAGUGUCACAAGGCCUUUCACGAGAGUGCACUGAAUGAUUUAUCACUAUUCAGCUUAUGAGUUGCACAGUUCAAUCAUCUAUCUUCAUAAAAUGCUGGUGACAGCCUCCACUGCGCAUCAGAAUGUUGCUAACCCAAGUAAAGUAUGAUGCAAAGAUA